AUCACUUAUUAUUUCCUUCAGGCAAACCACAUGUCAGAGGACUUCAAUCUGAAAAUGACGUGAGUUACAUGGGUUCCUUCCUCUUCGUUUUUUAAAGGUCCUCUUGUCUUUCUGUUUUCAUGUGUGCUCUUCACUGGCAGCUUUCUAUAAACAAAUGCACUUAUCAGAAUAAAAGAGUCAUUUCACUUCUCUAGGGAGAGAUUUUUAUAUCCAUCUUUUGAAGAGAUGAGAUGAAACGUAGUUUGAAAUUGAAUGUAUACAAAUUAGUGUAUAGAUCUCCACAUUUUAAAAGACCCUGAGUGGUCAAAAUGAUGAAACAAAUGAGAAAGAAAAAUAAGAGGACAAGAACUAACAUUAAUUGGAAACCCAGUGUGUAUCUCACAACCUUAUAGGUAUUUUGCACACAGCAUUUAAUUUGAUCCUCCUAUUAAGGAUUAAAUAGACAUUUUAUCUCCAUGUUAUUGAUGAGGCAACUGAAGUGUGGACAUAUGAAAAUAACUUCUACCAAAUUAUGCAUGUUAUAUAAAUAGAUAGACCAGUAGAGGAAAUAAAAACAAAAACUCAGGAUCUGUGAUUCCUAUACUACUACUCCAGGAACACAGGCAUAGCAUUGAGUGCUAAAGAGUCUAAAAAUGGCUGA
rnacentral:lncRNA from 10 species